rfam:Postia placenta Mad-698-R POSPLscaffold_2_Cont192, whole genome shotgun sequence.
GGUGAGAUGGCCGAGCGGUCUAAGGCGCCAGACUAAGGUGGCGUGAAUCCACACUGAGGGAUAAUCUGGUCCGAAAGGGCGUGGGUUCGAAUCCCACUCUCAUCA